rnacentral:lncRNA from 1 species
AUGCCUCCUGGGGCAAAGUCAGGGAGACACGUUCCCAGAACUUACCUUCCAGGUAGUCAGCGCGGUUGGUCUCCGUUUUCCAGACCAUCAAACUUCAUAGUCUGUGUCGCUUUCUGGGAAAAUGUCCAUGCGCUGACCUGCAAACCAGCCCCAUCCGAGGGGACGCGGGUGCCUCAGACCACCCCUCCCCCACACGGCUUUGGCCCUUCCUCUCUGUCUCACCUGUUUUCAGUCUUGCCCGCAGAUGCAGGUGUCCAGUGGCUGCCUAGGCGGGGACGUGUGCUUUUAUGGGCUUCAGGGAAGGCGGGGCACCGGGAACCUUGGGAGGGUCUUUGCCAGCCUGCCAAUGGGACUCCGCCUCGAAUGCAACUCCAAAGAUUACCUCAUAGGCUGUGGCCUCGGCUUCAGAAUAAAAGUCUGGCAUCUGCCCAAAACCUGGGUUAGGGGUUUUCUGGAGGGGGAAGGGGUACUCAUUGUGUUCCCCUGGGUCUUCCCACUGGCUCCAACCUCUGCCUAGGUCUCUGAGCUCUGUGUCAGUUGGUAACUGCUUCUUCCAAAGCCCCAGCUUGCGCUCUUGCUGGAUCAGGAGAGAGAAAGCUAGUAAACCAUGCGGGUGGAGGGGGAGAACAGCAGGGUUCAGGAUAUUUAAGUCCAAUUGCAGAUAGGGAAACUGAGGUCCUUGGGACUGGAAGGCUCUGGGAAGGGCUGGGGCCAAGGUGAGACUCAAGCCAAGAUUUUUUGAUUCCUUGACUUAAAACCCAGCUCAUACUUAGUUUAUUGUUUUACUUUACUCAGGCAGGCUCUGAGCCAAAAACCAUACAAACUUGGGUCAUAUUCAGAUUUUCCUCCUCCUCGCUGUGGGUCUUUGGGUAUAAUCAAAUGUCUUUGCUUUAGUUUCCUCAACUGUGAAAUGGCGAUGACGGUAGGAGCUUCUCAGAAUGCUGUGAUGAGGAAUUAAUGCUAUGGUGUGAGUUACAUGUUGGAAAUAAAUAAUCAGGACUGAGACUAGGGUGAGGGAGG